rnacentral:sRNA from 1 species
UGCCAUGUUAUGCAAUGUACAGCCAGC